rnacentral:rRNA from 1 species
UACCAGCACCCCGAGUGGUCGGGACGAUUAUUGGGCCUAAAGCAUCCGUAGCCGGUUUUACAAGUCCUCCGUUAAAUCCAGCUGCUUAACAGAUGGGCUGCGGAGGAUACUAUAGAGCUAGGAGGCGGGAGAGGCAAGCGGUACUCGAUGGGUAGGGGUAAAAUCCGUUGAUCCAUUGAAGACCACCAGUGGCGAAGGCGGCUUGCCAGAACGCGCUCGACGGUGAGGGAUGAAAGCUGGGGGAGCAAACCGG